rnacentral:rRNA from 1 species
UAACCUGCCUUGUACUGGGGGAUAGCAGCUGGAAACGGCUGCUAAUACCGCAUAAGCGCACGGCAUCGCAUGAUGCAGUGUGAAAAACUCCGGUGGUAUAAGAUGGACCCGCGUUGGAUUAGCUAGUUGGUGAGGUAACGGCCCACCAAGGCGACGAUCCAUAGCCGACCUGAGAGGGUGACCGGCCACAUUGGGACUGAGACACGGCCCAAACUCCUACGGGAGGCAGCAGUGGGGAAUAUUGCACAAUGGGCGAAAGCCUGAUGCAGCGACGCCGCGUGAGCGAAGAAGUAUUUCGGUAUGUAAAGCUCUAUCAGCAGGGAAGAUAAUGACGGUACCUGACUAAGAAGCACCGGCUAAAUACGUGCCAGCAGCCGCGGUAAUACGUAUGGUGCAAGCGUUAUCCGGAUUUACUGGGUGUAAAGGGAGCGCAGGCGGUGCGGCAAGUCUGAUGUGAAAGCCCGGGGCUCAACCCCGGUACUGCAUUGGAAACUGUCGUACUAGAGUGUCGGAGGGGUAAGCGGAAUUCCUAGUGUAGCGGUGAAAUGCGUAGAUAUUAGGAGGAACACCAGUGGCGAAGGCGGCUUACUGGACGAUAACUGACGCUGAGGCUCGAAAGCGUGG